UCUAGACAUGGCGGAUUUCCGGUUCUGAUCGGCGGCAGGGAUGCCGCAGAGCGGGCAAGGAACAAGGCUAGUCUUCUCUGUGUCACUCCAAUUCAUAUUGUGUGCUGCUGAAGCGAGCCCCAUUCUACUAAUUUCUGGUGAGGUGAGUGACCAGAACCAGUUGGAAACCUACAGAAGGCAGAAGAUGUUGUGCUCCUUAGACAGAGGACACAUACUGCACUCCCACGAGGUGGGUAACACAGUCCUGUGGAGGCCUUGAUCAUCUUCUGCAACUGGUGAAGCUGUUGAUUCCAGUACCACAUCUGCUGCCGUCAUGGAUGGAUCCUCUGCCUUGAUCUCAGGAGCAGUUGGGUGAGGAGGAGGUGUCCACGGACUGCCAGGUCUGAGGAGGGCAUGUGGAGCAGCACGUAGGCCAUCAGCUUAUUCAGGUUGGCCAGGUCCUUGGACUGGCAGAAAUCCUCAGGGUACUUGUCCAGCCACAUGGCAAGCAUGGAACACAGGGUUCUGUGUG